GACGGAGGGUGCGAGCGUUAUUCGGAAUCAUUGGGCGUAAAGAGCGUGUAGGCGGCCGGUUAAGUCAGGUGUGAAAGCGCGGGGCUCAACCUCGGAAGUGCACUUGAAACUGGUCCGCUUGAGUUCGGGAGAGGGAAGCGGAAUUCCUGGUGUAGAGGUGAAAUUCGUAGAUAUCAGGAGGAACACCGGUGGCGAAGGCGGCUUCCUCGACCGAAACUGACGCUGAGACGCGAAAGCGUGGGGAGCAAACAGG
rnacentral:rRNA from 1 species